GCACCCAUAGCUCAGCUGGAUAGAGCGCUGCCCUCCGGAGGCAGAGGUCAGAGGUUCGAAUCCUCUUGGGUGCG
rnacentral:tRNA from 1 species